rnacentral:misc_RNA from 1 species
GAUGAAGAACGCAGCGAAAUGCGAUAAGUAAUGUGAAUUGCAGAAUUCAGUGAAUCAUCGAAUGUUUGAACGCACAUUGCGCCCCCUGGUAUUCCGGGGGGCAUGCCUGUCCGAGCGUCAUUACAACCCUCAAGCUCAGCUUGGUGUUGGGCCCCGCCGCCCCGGCGGGCCCUAAAGUCAGUGGCGGUGCCGUCCGGCUCCGAGCGUAGUAAUUCUUCUCGCUCUGGAGGUCCGGUCGUGUGCUCGCCAGCAACCCCCAAUUUUUUUCAGGUUGACCUCGGAUCAGGUAGGGAUACCCGCUGAACUUAAGCAUAUCAAUAAGCGGAGGA